CAUGAAUCGACUCAUGGCUAAAAGGGCUUAACGGCACGCAAAAUUUUUGGCUGCCACAUUCUGUGAGUCGACCCCUUGACUUUCUUUCUGGUAAAAUUUAUUUUUUAAAUUUAAUUUUUUUUAUUUUUUUUAAAUUUUAAUUUUAAAUGACAAAAGUAAGUUGAAAAAUUAUUCUUUAUAUUUUUUUACCGACCUUCUAACGUCGGUGG
rnacentral:lncRNA from 1 species